GAUGAAGAACGCAGCGAAAUGCGAUACUUGGUGUGAAUUGCAGAAUCCCGCGAAUCAUCGAGUUUUUGAACGCAAGUUGCGCCCGAAGCCAUUCGGCCGAGGGCACGUCUGCCUGGGUGUCACGCAUCGUUGCCCCCCCAAACUCCGGUUCGGGCGGGGCGGAAGUUGGCCUCCCGUGCGUGCCUGCGCGCGCGGUUAGCCCAAAAGCGAGUCCUCGGCGACGAGCGCCACGACAAUCGGUGGUUUUUUUACCCUCGUUCCUCGUCGUGCGUGUCCCGUCGCCCGAACGCGCUCUUGUGACCCUCACGCGUCGCCUCGGCGGCGCUCCCAACGCGACCCCAGGUCAGGCGGGACUACCCGCUGAGUUUAAGCAUAUCAAUAAGCGGA
rnacentral:misc_RNA from 1 species